rnacentral:tRNA from 1 species
GCCUGGGUGGCUCAGUGGUUGAGCGUCUGCCUUUGGCUCAGGUUGUGAUCCCUGGUCCUGGGAUCGAGUCCCACGUCAGGCU